rnacentral:rRNA from 1 species
ACCGUGCAAAGGUAGCAUAAUCAUUUGCCUAUUAAUUGUAGGCUAGCAUGAAAGGACAAACGAGAAUAUCCCUGUCUCCUUUAAGCCAGUAAAAAUUUAUCUUUAAGUGAAGAAGCUUAAAUAAUUAUGCAGGACAAGAAGACCCUAUAGAGCUUUACCUAAACAUUACAUUAUAAGUAAUUAAGGGUUCGGUUGGGGCGACCUGGGGACAUAAAUCACCCCUUAAAAUUUAGACUAACACGUCAUUAAAAAGAUCCUAAACUAAGAUCAACGAAUCAAGCUACCUUAGGGAUAACAGGCUAAUCCUCUUAGAGAGCCCUUAUCGACAAGAGGGG